rnacentral:rRNA from 1 species
GCUCCCAGUAGACGACUGGGUUGAUAGGCCAGAUGUGGAAGCCCGGUAACGGGUGGAGCUGACUGGUACUAAUAGGCCGAGGGCUUGUCCUC